UGGCGGCCUUAGCGCGGUGGUCCCACCUGACCCCAUGCCGAACUCAGAAGUGAAACGCCGUAGCGCCGAUGGUAGUGUGGGGCCUCCCCAUGCGAGAGUAGGGAACUGCCA
rnacentral:rRNA from 1 species